UCUGAAUUUGAAUUAUAUGAUUUUAGAAUAACAUAUAAAUAUAUUAAAUAUUAAGGAAAGAAAUGUUGAAAAAGAUUUUUUUUUUUUGAGGAUAAGAAAAAUAAAAUAAAAGAAGGAUAUGGGAAUAACAAAUUGUUAAAUCUCCAACAAAAAUCAUAAUAUCUUCGAAGUUCUACUUCUCCCUCUGCCUCUUGCUCUCGCCCUUCUUUUUGGACGGCAAGCGCCAGCCAUCGGAGAAGCCCUUAGUGUCUAGCUGACGGACUCAUUAUUUUAUGCAUGAAACAAUUGAUCAUUGUGAUAAUUUUCGAUAUAUUUAAGUAACAAUUGAAAUUUUAAAAUUAUAAUGAUUUGUAUUCAAAUCAUUUAAUUUUUUGAUUUUAAUGUAAAAAAGAAGAUAAAAAUACAUUCAAAUAGUAUUUAUCAUUCGUAGAAGAAAAAAAAAAAAGGAUAGUUAUUCUAUUAGCUUGGAGAAUUGCAGAAAGUCUUUGUACUAGACAUGAAUAUAAUACAAUGAAAAAGAAAACUUGAAAUCGCAAUAUGAAAUACAAAUACAAACACUGCUCAACUACAAAAAUAUGCCAAAUCUAUAUAAACAUAAAUUAUUAAAAUGCCAAAAGUUAUAUAAUCAUAAAAUAACUUGACAUGAGAAACUCCACAAAAAUGAUACCAACCCUACAAUUGUCAGGUUUGAAAGGUAAUGAAACUUGAAAAUGGGUGUUUCUCUUUUCUAAACCUUAAAACUUAUAUUCUGUAAUUGGGAUAAGAAGCAAAAGGAAAAUUCAAACUAUUGAAAUGUCAGCUUAACCAUGAAAUUUGUAUUCAAUGAAACCUACCGUCUACAACUAAGAUUUUCCAUCCCUCAACUAUGAGACCAGCGAAGCUGCAUUCAUGGUGAGUUUAACCCAAAUUAGUCACUCCAAUGCGGUGUUUUCUUCUUCAUGAGCCUUUUGAAUGCCGACCAAACGAGCGUAAUCUACCCA